GACGAACGCUGGCGGCGUGCCUAAUACAUGCAAGUCGAACGCAGUGGGGACGGGUGCGUAACACGUGGGUAACCUCCCAUCAGAGGGGAUAACACUUGGAAACAGGUGCUAAACCGAUACUGAUGGAUGAACCCGCGGGGCAUUAGCUAGUUGGUGGGGUAACGGCUCACCAAGGCCACGAUGCAUAGCCGGCCUGAGAGGGUGAUCGGCCACACUGGGACUGAGACACGGCCCAGACUCCUACGGGAGGCAGCAGUAGGGAAUAUUGGGCAAUGGGCGAAAGCCUGACCGAGCAACGCCGCGUGAAUGAAGAAGGUUUUCGGAUCGUAAAGUUCUGUUGUUAGGGAAGCGGUACCUAAAGAGAAAGCAACGGCUAACUACGUGCCAGCAGCCGCGGUAAUUC
rnacentral:rRNA from 1 species